UACAGAGGUGGCAAGCGUUGUUCGGAAUUACUGGGCGUAAAGGGCUCGUAGGCGGUUUGUCGCGUCGGGAGUGAAAUCCACUGGCUUAACUGGUGGCUUGCUUUCGAUACGGGCAGACUGGAGGUAUGCAGGGGAGAACGGAAUUCCUGGUGUAGCGGUGAAAUGCGCAGAUAUCAGGAGGAACACCGGUGGCGAAGGCGGUUCUCUGGGCAUGUCCUGACGCUGAGGAACGAAAGUGUGGGGAGCGAACAGG
rnacentral:rRNA from 1 species